rnacentral:rRNA from 1 species
CCCUUAGAUGUUCUGGGCCGCACGCGCGCUACACUGAUGCAUUCAACGAGUUCCUACCUUGGCCGAGAGGCCUGGGCAAUCUUUUGAACUUGCAUCGUGAUAGGGAUAGAUUAUUGCAAUUAUUAAUCUUGAACGAGGAAUUCCUAGUAAACGCAGAUCAUCAAUCUGCAUUGAUUACGUCCCUGCCCUUUGUACACACCGCCCGUCGCACCUACCGAUUGAAUGGUUUAGUGAGAUCCUUGGAUCGGCCCUGUCGCGGCUGGCAACGGCCGCGUCGGCGCGUCGAGAAGACGAUCAAACUUGAUCAUUUAGAGGAAGUAAAAGUCGUAACA